UACGUAGGUGGCAAGCGUUGUCCGGAAUUAUUGGGCGUAAAGCGCGCGCAGGCGGCCUCUUAAGUCUGAUGUGAAAGCCCCCGGCUCAACCGGGGGAGGGCCAUUGGAAACUGGGAGGCUUGAGUAUAGGAGAGAAGAGUGGAAUUCCACGUGUAGCGGUGAAAUGCGUAGAGAGUGUGGAGGAACACCAGUGGCGAAGGCGACUCUUUGGCCUAUAACUGACGCUGAGGCGCGAAAGCGUGGGGAGCAAACAGG
rnacentral:rRNA from 1 species